CAGCCGCCGCGGUAAUACAGAGGGUGCAAGCGUUAAUCGGAUUUACUGGGCGUAAAGGGCGCGUAGGUGGUUAUGUAAGUGAGAUGUGAAAUCCCCGGGCUCAACCUGGGAACUGCAUCUUAUACUGCGUAGCUGGAGUGCAGUAGAGGGUAGUGGAAUUUCCGGUGUAGCGGUGAAAUGCGUAGAUAUCGGAAGGAACACCAGUGGCGAAGGCGGCUACCUGGACUGACACUGACACUGAGGCGCGAAAGCGUGGGAGCAAACAGGAUUAGAUACCCGCGUAGUCCCUGUCUCUUAUACA
rnacentral:rRNA from 1 species